UACGGAGGGGACUAGCGUUGUUCGGAAUUACUGGGCGUAAAGCGCGCGUAGGCGGAUUUGCAAGUCGGGGGUGAAAUCCCGAGGCUCAACCUCGGAACUGCCUUCGAUACUGCAAAUCUCGAGUCCGGAAGAGGUGAGUGGAAUUCCUAGUGUAGAGGUGAAAUUCGUAGAUAUCAAGUGGAACACCAGUGGCGAAGGCGAAUCCCUGGAAAAUACCUGACACUGAGGCACGAAAGCUAGGGGAGCAAACAGG
rnacentral:rRNA from 1 species